GUUUGAAAAGUCGAGGUUUGGAGGCUCUCACGUUGCGUCAGCCAAACCUAAUGUAAACGUGCAACGCAAACCCACUCAGGCUCCUCCUAGUCCAUCUCCAUCUAAAUCCACAUCGGCAGCCGUCAACCCUCAACCCUCUCCAGCUCUCCGGCCCAUCAUCCAACCCUCCUCUUCCUUCUUACUUCCACCAGCAACAGAAACCUCAUCUGCAGGCCCUGAUCUGCCCUUGCUCUGGCCGCAGUCGAUGCCGAAGGAGGACCAUAAGUGGGUGGCUGAAGUCCUGUUUCGAGUAAAUGCGAAGGGGAAGAUGGAGUUAAAGGACAACCUUCAGCUGUGGUACAACCCCCCACCUCCAAAUCUCCUGUACC